UGGGGAAUAUUAGGCAAUGGGGGAAACCCUGACCUAGCAACGCCGCGUGAAGGAUGAAGGCUUUCGGGUUGUAAACUUCUUUUAUCAGGGACGAACACAAUGACGGUACCUGAAGAAUAAGCCACGGCUAACUACGUGCCAGCAGCCGCGGUAAUACGUAGGUGGCGAGCGUUAUCCGGAAUUACUGGGUGUAAAGGGCGCGUAGGCGGGGUCACAAGUCUGACGUGAAAUAUCCGGGCUCAACCCGGGGGCUGCGUUGGAAACUGUGAUUCUUGAGUGAUGGAGAGGCAGGCGGAAUUCCCGGUGUAGCGGUGGAAUGCGUAGAUAUCGGGAGGAACACCAGUGGCGAAGGCGGCCUGCUGGACAUUAACUGACGCUGAGGCGCGAAAGCGUGGGGAGCAAACA
rnacentral:rRNA from 1 species